CAACUUUCUUCUUCUACUCCCGAGUCGUAUUCUUCCUCCGAGGAAUCUUUAGUUGGAGUCCUAUAAUUGAAACGGAAGUAAUAUCUGAAAUCAAUGUCUGAA